UUACUGCUCCUCUCGCCAUCGACGCUCCUCUGCCAGUCGCCGCUGCUGCCAAAGGUUGUGGAUUGGAAGUUUUGAUAGUCACCUUGCUCCUUUCUACAGAAUCAAAUAGGUGUUUCAGCCCAGGGAUUGUCAGGAAGAACAUGACCUUCCACAGGUUUAAUGGAAGAUCCAUCAGCAUGUGCAUCUUUUAUAUCAACAAUACUUAUGGGCUUGUCUGUGUGUUUGCUCAUAUUGGAUUCCUGUAAGAUCCUUUCCUCAUGAACAGCAGGGUUAUCAGACACAGACUUUGAAGAUUGGUAACCUCGGAAAGGCUGUGAAGGUGGAUUAUUGAAACCUACAUCAAAUGCAUCAGCUUCAUCAGCAAUGCUACUAGGUUCCAAACCGCCACGACAAUAGUAGUCAUCUUCAUUUAGUAUGGAAGAGGUAUAUGGUCAUCAAAGAGGUCUCAUAACAGCUUCGAGAAGAAUGGGAAGCAUUAGCUAAUUGCUAUGAAGAUCACAUGAGCAGUGCAUGGAUAUCAAAUAAUUUAUUAAGGUCAUUUCUUUUCUUUGUUACUCACUCACCAAUUUUGUCGAAGUAGCAAAUUAGAAAUGUAAAAUGUAUCACAAAAUGUUUUGGAAUUCUCUUACAAAGUAUUAGCUCAACUGAU